AGUGAACGCUGGCGGUAGGCCUAACACAUGCAAGUCGAACGGCAGCACAGUAAGAGCUUGCUCUUACGGGUGGCGAGUGGCGGACGGGUGAGGAAUACAUCGGAAUCUACUUUUUCGUGGGGGAUAACGUAGGGAAACUUACGCUAAUGCCGCAUACGACCUACGGGUGAAAGCAGGGGAUCUUCGGACCUUGCGCGAUUGAAUGAGCCGAUGUCGGAUUAGCUAGUUGGCUGGGUAAAGGCCCACCAAGGCGACGAUCCGUAGCUGGUCUGAGAGGAUGAUCAGCCACACUGGAACUGAGACACGGUCCAGACUCCUACGGGAGGCAGCAGUGGGGAAUAUUGGACAAUGGGCGCAAGCCUGAUCCAGCCAUACCGCGUGGGUGAAGAAGGCCUUCGGGUUGUAAAGCCCUUUUGUUGGGAAAGAAAAGCAGCAGGUUAAUACCCCGAUGUUCUGACGGUACCCAAAGAAUAAGCACCGGCUAACUUCGUG
rnacentral:rRNA from 1 species